UGGGGAAUAUUGGACAAUGGGGGGAACCCUGAUCCAGCCAUGCCGCGUGUGUGAAGAAGGCCUUAUGGUUGUAAAGCACUUUAAGCGAGGAGGAGGGUACUGGUAUUAAUACUACCAGCUACUGGACGUUACUCGCAGAAUAAGCACCGGCUAACUCUGCGCCAGCAGCCGCGGUAAUACAGAGGGUGCGAGCGUUAAUCGGAUUUACUGGGCGUAAAGCGUGCGUAGGCGGCUAAUUGAGUCGGAUGUGAAAUCCCCGAGCUUAACUUGGGAAUUGCAUUCGAUACUGGUUAGCUAGAGUGUGGGAGAGGAUGGUAGAAUUCCAGGUGUAGCGGUGAAAUGCGUAGAGAUCUGGAGGAAUACCGAUGGCGAAGGCAGCCAUCUGGCCUAACACUGACGCUGAGGUACGAAAGCAUGGGGAGCAAACAGG
rnacentral:rRNA from 1 species